rnacentral:lncRNA from 1 species
CGAGGAAACCUCAUUGGGCGAGGUUAAAGUGGCUUUUAAGAUACAUUGCUGGGACAUUAGAUGUGGGAUUGGUGUUUGAAAGAAGAUCUGAAGAGUCAUUUUAAAGGAGUAUGUAGACUCCGACUUUGCUGGUGAUAAAGAUCAAAGAAAGUCUACUACUGCCUAUUUCUUCACACUAGGUGAUAAUUGCAUCACAUGGAAGUCACAACUUCAAUCUAUUGUCACAUUAUCAAGCACAGAGGCUGAAUAUGUGGCAAUAAUCGAAUCUGUAAAAGAAUGCAUUUGGUUAAAAGGAAUUUUGGGUGAGUUGAAUUUUUUCAAGUGUCACCCGUUAUUUUCACCGAUAGUCAAAGUGCUUUACUUUUAUGUAAAAAUCCAAUUUAUCAUGAGAGAUCUAAAUACAUUGAGGUGAAGUACCAUUUCAUACUUGAAAAAGUUGCUUGUGGUGAUGUUAUACUUGGAAAAAAUUCACACCGACGUGAGCCCUUCUGAUAUAGGAACCAAAAUUCUAAAUGUAGGUAAAUUUAAGGCUUGUUUAUCUUUAGUACAUAUUGAUACGGGUUAAUUUCUUUUGCAGGUACUAAGGACGAUGAUGUAGGGCAAAAACAUAACCGUCACAUGCAUUGUAGCAACUAGAGAGAACUAGGGGUUUGUGAAAACAAGGUGAAGAUUGUGAAAUGUUUUUCAAAACCUAUUACUCACGUUUUUAAAAGUGGCAAAAAUCAUUUUCUUCAUUUGUUGGCCACAUGGCAACUUUCCAUUGGCAACUUAUAUUUCACAAGGAUGUGUGUUUAUUUGAAAACAUUAUGGGUCAUUGAUCAAAAUGGAGGGUG